ensembl:snRNA U6 U6 spliceosomal RNA
GUGCACAACAGGCACAUAUACUAAAACUGGAACAAUACGGAGAAGAUUAGCACGGCCCCAGCACAAGGAUGACACGCAAACGCGUUCCAUAUUUUU